AGGCCUCUGGGCAAAGGCACCUCCCGGCCCCUGGGCUCAGGGGGCUGCUGGAGCCUCUGGUCCUUUCCAGCUGAAACCUGGCACCUGAGAGCUGCCCCUCACAGCUGGAACGUGUGCCUCUCCUGUGCCUCUCGCUUUGAGCUAUCCUGGUCACACCAGGAAACAAAUGCAUUUGGUUCCCUAAAUGGGAGAAGGUUUUUUGUCAUCGUCGUCAUUUUUCUAGUUUCGCUCUUUGCUAGCAGCCCUUCCUCUUCCUCCCUGCUCUCCAAAAUAGCAAAAAGCUGCAUCCUCCUCCCCAGCUGCCUCUUGUAGGUUGCUGCAACACCCAGCACUUCUCCUCAGCCACCAGUAGCAAAGGUCAGAGCCCACGUGGAGGGGACCAGUGCUCCAAGCUCAAGGGUUUGUUGCUGGGUGGCCUAAAGCAGGUAUGUGUGGGGUCCUGCUGGUACUGGUACCUUUGGAUGUGUGCCACACCCUGCCAGGCUGAAAAUGUCCUUCCUACCACUCACCUCUGUGUCAUCCCACCCUCCCACAGAGCCUGGGAUGGGGAGUGGACCUUACAUCCCUUCUUCUGCUGUCACUGUGCCUCUGUUGCAGCAGGGCAGAUGAUGAGCUGGUGCCUCGGUGCCACGGGACCAAGAGAAGGAAGCAGUGGUGGUGCAAGGAGUGGUCAAAGAGUCAGAGGUGGAGGAAGGACAUGCUCAGGCUGUCAGAGCUGCAAGCCUGCCAGUCCCUAAACCCUUUUUGUUGUCCAAACCCAGAGUUCCUCCCUGACAAAUGCCUCCCUGGUGGUCUCCUUGGGGUGGAGCUCACACUUCUAUCAGCAGCUCCAGGAGCCCAGCAUGAUGCCAUCUAUUGUGUCCUAGCCCUGACCACCACUGAUCUGCCUGGAGGAAAAACUGCUCAUCCUGGUUGGAGGCAGCACCAUCUCUGCCCCCCUGAUGGAUGGUGGCUCUCGGACAGAGCUCUCCAGGCUGGCUGCCUGCUGGGAAGGGGCUGAGCUGGCUCUGACCUUGGCACAUCUUCCUCCUGGAGUUUUUCUGCCUCCUUUGGUGCCAGUCACCAUCUGAGCCCAAACUGGACCUUCUCUAGGAAGCAGCCUGUGGGACAAAGGUUUUCAGGUGUGAUGAGGAUAUCAAACUGGAUGGAAAGGUUUUUAUGAUGUCAGAACCUAUGACUCCUUAAUAAAUCUCAAUAGAAAAUAGUGAAAAGGAGAGCAAAACAAAUUCCAAAGUCCCGCAGACCCGAGCAGUCCUCAUGAAACCUGCCAACAGCCAAAGGGCUCCAGCACACGGCAGACACCUGUGACUGGCUGCUCCCUGAACUCCAGAGCAUCCCUAAAACCUCACAGGUUGCCUCCCUGCCUCUUUCCACCGCUCCAGGCUUUUCUCUCCUCUGCAUCUUCUCCAAACCCUCCUGCGGGCGCACGACUGCGGCUCAGCCCACGCGCCGCUCCCGGGCAGCAGCUCAGGCUUUGAUAGUGGAGCGUGGCCGCCUGUGCCGUGCUCAGGCCUGUUGCCACGUGGGCUCCCUGGCCAAGGGCUGGCACAGAUCUUGCAGGGGAAGCAUCAGCAGGAGAUGGUUGUGCUGUUACUUGCACAGGAGCAGAGCACACGGCCAAGCUGCAGCCCCUCCAGUGCUGUGCCGCCUCCUCCCUCUCUGCUUUGGGGUGGUAAAUCAUUCAACAUGGAAUAACAGCUGCUCAAACUGAGGAGGAAGGGCUCCCAGAGGCAAACCUCACCUGGGAAGACACUGGGAAGCGCUUCUGAACUGGCAAGAGUUGGCAAUGGGGAGUGAAGGGGGAUUUGACAAUGCUGAUGCUGCUCCUCAGGAACAGGGACUCAAGAAUGAGCAGGGAGAAUUCACACAUAACCUCCCUCCCCCUGAGGAUCUGUCAUUGCUGUAGCUCUGAGCCAUUGUGGAGGGACAAGCAAUACACCCACACGCCAACUCUGAGGAGCACGACAGGGCCAAGUGCCAGCUCUCCUCCUUCUCCAUCAAUCACCAGGAAGAGGGAGACAGCUGUCUCCCUGAGGAGUUUGGAAGAUGUCAUCAAGGAGCAGGAUAAAUCAGGUCCCUGCAUAUACAACAGGGCAAUUAUUUACGGAUCAUUAAAUAUUGGCUCUAAAAACCCCAGGCAUUAAACAAGAGCCUGUGCCAGGUUGUGUGUUUACCUUCUGCCUGCACCUGACGUGCAGGAGUGACGAUCAGCACCAGCCAUGCCCCAAACCCAGCACUCCUUUCCUGUGGCUGCUUCCUCUUGCCAGGGGAUGGAAAUAUUUCAAGGAAACCCAAUUUCUAGGUACAAACUGCAACUGCCCUGGAGCUCUCUGACAAGGACCUUUCCAGGUAUGUCUGAGCUGGAUUCAAAACUGCCUGGGUUUUAUUUAAAACCUAUUUUCAGACUACUGAGUUUAGUGGAGUCACUGGUGAGGGCAAAGUGACCUACUCUGAUGUGGUUCUACCACCUUCUCCCUGGGGAAUUGAGCAGGAAAGCACAGCCAGGGUCAGCAAGCCUGGCAGGAUAACAGUGCACUGGUGUGGGCAGGGACCCGCUGGGAUCCUGGCUGCAGGGAUGCUGUGCUGUGGCACAGGUGGCUGCCCCAAGCCAAAGAAGGAGGAGUAAGUACAACCUGAUCUCAGCCACUCUCUGCCUCAGGGCUUCCACCUCUGCAAGACCCUGGUUCAGUUUGUGGCUGGGCCUGGCCAUCCCUGCCAGGAGCAGCAGCAAAGUGGCAGCAGGCAGUGCCUGGUGGGAUGCCCUUAUAAGAGCAAACUCGAGCUCCCAGCCAUAAACGAAACCCUUCUCUUUCAUUUACUCAUCUGACCUGGCGGUGCUGGAACUGAUAAUGCUGGUUUCCUUUUAAGCAGAGGCCAGUCAUAAAUAAAAUAAACCAGGCAUG